rnacentral:rRNA from 1 species
CCUACGGGUGGCAGCAGUAGGGAAUCUUUCACAAUGGGCGAAAGCCUGAUGGAGCAACGCCGCGUGCAGGAUGAAGGCCUUCGGGUUGUAAACUGCUUUUAUAAGCGAGAAAUAUGAUGGUAACUUAUGAAUAAGGAUCGGCUAACUACGUGCCAGCAGCCGCGGUCAUACGUAGGAUCCGAGCAUUAUCCGGAUUUACUGGGUGUAAAGGGGGCGCAGACGGCAAUGCAAGCCAGGAGUGAAAGCCCGGGGCCCAACCCCGGGACUGCUCUUGGAACUGCAUGGCUGGAGUACAGGAGGGGCAGGCGGAAUGCCUGGUGUAGCGGUGAAAUGCGUAGAUAUUAGGAGGAACACCGGUGGCGAAGGCGGCCUGCUGGACUGUGACUGACGUUGAGGCCCGAAGGCGUGGGGAGCAAACAGGAUUAGAUACCCUAGUAGUC